AGAUAAUUGCCCUUUGCAGUGCAGAAAGCCAUGUAAACUUGUCAUGGUCCUCUGUAGAACAAAUCAUUUGACACCUGGGACUUUGCAGAAGAAAAGCAUUCUUGAUAUCUGUAAUAAUAAUAAUAAUAAUAAUAAUAAUAAUAAUAAUAAUAAUAAUAAUCUGAUUUCUGAAAGAUUAUAAAUGAGGAUCAGUUUUCAAGCUAAGACAGGAGAUCAUGUAGCAAUAUGUGCAGUGGUGAAAGUUUGACCCAUUUAUGGUGUUCCAUGCAUUGCAUUCCCUACAGAAAUGGUGACCUGUAAAGCAGGCCUUGUUUCCUUUCAGUAACACCUUUCUUAUCCCACUACUCAAUUAGUAUUGCACUUUUCCUCAUCCCUGGUUUUAGUCUGCAUGCAGAUACUGAAAAUGAGAAGUUUGUACAAAGUGGUUUGUUUUUCAAAGUGAAUCAUUCAUUGACCAGCAAAUGCAUCUUUCCACUGCAGCGAAUAAUGUGGAGAUUUACAGCAUUCUGUGUUAUUUCUGACAGGCAUUGCUAUGUUACCUGUGUUAACACAGUUUGUAUUCUUGCAUUGCCCUGAGUUCUUCUGAUGGAAGGGUAAUUCGCCAGAGGCUCCUGGAGGGCACAGAGCACCUUUGGAAUGGAGACCCCUACCAUAGUCCACAGGCAGAGCCAUGCAAACUUCCUUCCUCCUGCAGGAGGAGCCAACACCAUCUCUCAGACCAACUGUACCAGUGAGCAAGGGUCUGUUCACUUAUUAAGAAAAAAUUAAGCCCCUAAUCGUUUUGCUAGCCCCUUCUGUCCUUUAAAUAUAGGGAUUACUGGGGCCGCUCACCAUCCGUUAGAAUGGCAAUAGCCUGUCCUUGCACAGAGUUUUGAGAAGUUUGCCUGGAGCAGCUGCUUCCACAGAUAACUGCUGAUUUCAAGGCAUUCAGAAAGGUUGUUGUCUAUACUUCUUGGUAUAAUAGUUCUUUCCCCUUGGAUCUAAGGAUACUGAGCAGCUAUCUUUCCUAAACAUGCAUUCGGAUUGUGGACCUCACCAUGCAACAUUCUUAGGUAUUUAUUUUCUUGGGUUUAAAGUAAGCAAGCACUUGAAAAGCUUUAAGACAGUAAUGGAGACUUUCCAGCAAAGGCAUUCUGGAGCUUCUGUAGAUCUCCUAGAAGCAUAUGAUAGAUUUUUUCCGUCUCCAGAAGCUCUGCAGAAAACUAGGAUGGAUUUCUGAGGGCAACUGUCAUUAACACAAGCUCCUAUUGCAGAAUUCAUCUGCUGUUAGCCAAUCAGCUUUGGCAGAAAAAAAUAUCAUCUCAUCUACACUUGAUACACAUUAACCUCCAUUUCCCUAACUAUUGCAACUGGUUUUAAUUUUAACAGAAGCUCAAGAAUAUCCAGGUGACCCUGCAAUGCUAGCUAAGUAUUUGGGUAGGAGAAAACUCACAUUUGGAAUCUGGAAUAUCUUCAACCAGGAGUUGAUGAAGUGUUACCACUGCCAAGAAUUGGAGUCAGCUCUUCACGGUCAGUGUGUUCUGGAGGAGUGUGAAGCCUCAGAGCAUACAGGAGCGUGACGUACUCUUCAAUCCUCUUAGAUGGGCACAACAGAAAUUCUUGGAGGCUACGUGUUACAUAGAUGCACUUAAUCCAUGCUUUAAUUAGAAAAGUAGCAAAUUGCAUUGCAAGUCCCAAGACCAACAAAGGUUCCAGGCAAGUUCCAACAGAUAGUGAUGAUGACAACAUGUUUUCCUGCAAGCCAAGCGACAUACAGAUCAAGGCUGCAAAGUUAAUGUGAAGUUAUGCUGUUGUCUGGUCCACCCUAGGCAUCCGGCAUGAGUAACUUACUAUAUAGGUAUGUUCUGUGGUAAGCUGGCCAUCCAUAACAUCUUCCACCCACAACCACUGAGAAGAAUUUCAGCAGACAAUCAGAAAUAUGGGGAACAAGGUGAAUGAAUAGGAUUUACAUCACCACUUUACAAGCUAAAAAGCCCUUCUAAAAGUUCGAUCCUAUGCAUGUAUACUUAAGCAUUCAUUCCAAUGUUUUAAAUUGCUUCCUGACCUCCUAAGUGGUUACAAUCAGAUCUUGGUGGCCUAAAGUCUCAUCAUACCCUGCCUGGGGUUAAUGAAAAUUAGAAUCCAGCAAGAAAGACAUGGAAAGCAUAAGGGUCUUUACUCGCUUGGUUACAUCAAUACUGUCACAUGCGGUGGCGCCAUUUAGUCACUUCUGAUAAUAUUUCUGUGUACAGUUCUGUGUUUGAUUUUUGGGGAGCCUUCUGCAUUAAAUCAGCUGUAAUAAACACACGUCCUCCUAUAAACCCUCAACACAUUUGAUAUCUUGCCUAACCAGCCAUUUGUUAAGUCUUUAAAUGUUCCAGGCAGACGCCUCUAGGAAAUAAGUUACAUCAUAUGUAUAAACUGAGUCCUUGCCAAUAGAAACUUGUCUAAGGGUGCAAUUUUCCACUGGGCCACGGGAAGCACAAUCAAGGAGAUGCCAGUACAACGGGGACACGUGAGGUUGUUCUCACACUAUCUUAGCAAUGUUCUCAUAUACAGUGGUACCUCGGGUUAAGUACUUAAUUCGUUCCAGAGUCCGUACUUAACCUGAAACUGUUCUUAACCUGAAGCACCAC